CACGUAGGGUGCGAGCGUUGUCCGGAAUUAUUGGGCGUAAAGAGCUCGUAGGCGGUCUGUCGCGUCUGCUGUGAAAUCUCAGGGCUUAACCCUGAGCUUGCAGUGGGUACGGGCAGACUAGAGUGCGGUAGGGGAGACUGGAAUUCCUGGUGUAGCGGUGAAAUGCGCAGAUAUCAGGAGGAACACCGGUGGCGAAGGCGGGUCUCUGGGCCGUAACUGACGCUGAGGAGCGAAAGCAUGGGGAGCGAACAGG
rnacentral:rRNA from 1 species